rnacentral:rRNA from 1 species
CCUACGGGAGGCAGCAGUGGGGAAUAUUGCACAAUGGGGGGAACCCUGAUGCAGCGACGCCGCGUGAGUGAAGAAGUAUUUCGGUAUGUAAAGCUCUAUCAGCAGGGAAGAAAAUGACGGUACCUGACUAAGAAGCCCCGGCUAACUACGUGCCAGCAGCCGCGGUAAUACGUAGGGGGCAAGCGUUAUCCGGAUUUACUGGGUGUAAAGGGAGCGCAGACGGCUGUGCAAGUCUGGAGUGAAAGGCGGGGGCCCAACCCCCGGACUGCUCUGGAAACUGUAAAGCUGGAGUGCAGGAGAGGUAAGCGGAAUUCCUAGUGUAGCGGUGAAAGGCGUAGAUAUUAGGAGGAACACCAGUGGCGAAGGCGGCUUACUGGACUGCAACUGACGUUGAGGCUCGAAAGCGUGGGGAGCAAACAGGAUUAGAUACCCUUGUAGUC